GCGGAUUUCCCAUAAGGCACAGUAGGCCCGGGCCUAGGGCGGCAAGAUAUUAGGGGCGGCAAAUUGUGACAAAAAAUUCGCUGAUGAUAACAAAAAAUAACUCAAAAUUAGACCAGGCAACAAAUUCUCAAAAAAGUACCUAUAGAGGGAAAUGCUUGCAACACAAUUUUUGACUUUGUACCUAUUUUUAUUUGAACUAUCUAGGAGGUGAACAUAUCAAAAGUCCCCGGCCGUAGCCCUUGAGCCAGGGGAAGAGAGAGGUCUCCGAAACUGCCGGACCAAUUAAGUUGAAAUUUGGCACACAUAUGUAAGUUUGUGACCCAAAGAUGGACGUGUAACGCUCGAGUUUGCAAUAUUAUUACGCCCCGAGAUACACACAAUGUU